AUUGAACGCUGGCGGCAUGCUUUACACAUGCAAGUCGAACGGUAACAGGUUAAGCUGACGAGUGGCGAACGGGUGAGUAAUGCAUCGGAACGUGCCCGCUCGUAGGGGAUAACGCAGCGAAAGCUGCGCUAAUACCGCAUACGAUCUGAGGAUGAAAGCGGGGGACCGUAAGGCCUCGCGCGAUCGGAGCGGCCGAUGUCAGAUUAGGUAGUUGGUCGGGUAAAGGCCUACCAAGCCGACGAUCUGUAGCUGGUCUGAGAGGACGACCAGCCCCACAGGGACUGAGACGCGGGCAUGACGCCAACGGGGAGAAGAAGUGGGUAAUUUUGGACAAUGGGCGCAAGCCUGAACCAGCAACGCCGCGUGCAGGAAGAAGGCCUGCGGUUGUAAACUGCUUUUGUACGGAGCGAAAAGGCUCUCUCUAAUACAGGGGGCUCAUGACGGUACCGUAAGAAUAAGCACCGGCUAACUACGUGCCAGCAGCCGCCGUAA
rnacentral:rRNA from 1 species